rnacentral:rRNA from 1 species
AUGCUGGGCGCCGUCCUCCGCGUCCCGGCCUCUCCGAUCCCGCCUCUCUUCCCCGCGCCGGGGCGCCCUCUCGUCCACCUCUCCCGCCGCCUCCCUACGGCGCCCGCUAUGGCCGACGCCAAGAAGACCGACGCGCCGGCGACCGCGGCCCCGGAGCCGCCCGAGAAGCCGCUCCCCGGCGACUGCUGCGGCAGCGGCUGCGUCCGCUGCGUCUGGGACAUCUACUACGACGAGCUCCAGGACUACAAGAAGGCACUCGCCGCCCACGCGUCCGCCGCCGAUCCCAGCGGCGACAAGGCCUCCGCCGACGAGAAGAAGAUCAAAUCAUGA